rnacentral:lncRNA from 1 species
AUGAGUAAGAUAAGUGUAUAUCGUUGCUGCUGCUGCUGCGAUUGCUAUUGCUGUGAUUGCACAGGCGUUCCCUUCAUUCUCCUUAAGUCUGCCGAAUGUUGGCAGAUCAGCGAAGACUACCGCGGUGAGGAAGAUGAGGAUUGACCACGGAGCCUCUUAGGAAUGCAACGGCGUUGGUCGCUGGCCGAAGGGUGAAGCUUCACUUUUCUCAGCGACGUUGGUCGCUGGCCGAAGGCAAGAGCGAAGCUUUGCUUUUCUCAACGACGUUGGUCGUGGUUGCGAUUACGACGGCUGCGACGGUAGAGAAGAAAUCUACAGCAAUGUUGCAGUGAUGCUACUACAACAAAGGAGGAAACUGCAACAGAGGAGAAAGUUGUAGCAGAAGAGGAAGCUGUAGUAGAAGAG